CUUGUAUAAAUUGUCGUGCCGAUUAAAGGAUUGUCAGUUGACUCCCAAAACUGUGUCUCGUCCGGUUAUUGGGAGGUUGGGGAUAUUGCCUUGGUGUUUUCAGCGCUUGACUGUGGAUUCGUUUCUGGACCAGCGGAAUUCGUGGAUUAAUAUUGGCGUUCCGCUACAAUUGGUGGCAAGCGACGGGAUCCAACUCUACAGCCGAAUACAGCGCAUUCGAAUGAAAGGAACAACCGAACGGAAAGGCAAUUCGUAUGAAACAAACAGACGAAAGCGAUCAGUGAAUGGGGACUGAUUACACGGCGUUAAAGAGACAGACGCUAAAGG